rnacentral:rRNA from 1 species
ACGGGAGGCAGCAGUGGGGAAUAUUGGGCAAUGGAGGAAACUCUGACCCAGCAACGCCGCGUGGAGGAAGAAGGUCUUCGGAUCGUAAACUCCUGUCCUCAAAGACGAGAAGAAGACGGUAAUUGAGGAGGAAGCCCCGGCUAACUACGUGCCAGCAGCCGCGGUAAUACGUAGGGGGCAAGCGUUGUCCGGAAUGAUUGGGCGUAAAGGGCGCGUAGGCGGCCUGUUAAGUCUGGAGUGAAAGUCCUGCUUUUAAGGUGGGAAUUGCUUUGGAUACUGAUGGGCUUGAGUGCAGGAGAGGUAAGUGGAAUUCCCAGUGUAGCGGUGAAAUGCGUAGAGAUUGGGAGGAACACCAGUGGCGAAGGCGACUUACUGGGCCGUAGCUGACGCUGAGGCGCGAAAGCGUGGGGAGCGAACAGGAUUAGAUACCCUGGUA